rnacentral:rRNA from 1 species
GCAGCAGUGGGGAAUAUUGGACAAUGGGCGCAAGCCUGAUCCAGCCAUACCGCGUGGGUGAAGAAGGCCUUCGGGUUGUAAAGCCCUUUUGUUGGGAAAGAAAUCCAGCUGGCUAAUACCCGGUUGGGAUGACGGUACCCAAAGAAUAAGCACCGGCUAACUUCGUGCCAGCAGCCGCGGUAAUACGAAGGGUGCAAGCGUUACUCGGAAUUACUGGGCGUAAAGCGUGCGUAGGUGGUCGUUUAAGUCCGUUGUGAAAGCCCUGGGCUCAACCUGGGAACUGCAGUGGAUACUGGGCGACUAGAGUGUGGUAGAGGGUAGCGGAAUUCCUGGUGUAGCAGUGAAAUGCGUAGAGAUCAGGAGGAACAUCCAUGGCGAAGGCAG